AGAGUUUGAUCCUGGCUCAGAACGAACGCUGGCGGCGUGCUUAACACAUGCAAGUCGCGUGCGCAGUUGCCGUAGCAAUCGGUGAUGGGCGCACGGCGCACGGGUGCGUAACACGUGGGCAAUCUGCCCUUGAUGGGGAAUANNCCNNCGAAAGGCGGGCUAAUUCCGCAUAAGAUUCCCGGGACUUCGGUUCCGGAUUGAAAGCAGCAAUGCGUCGAAGGAGGAGCCCGCGCCCGAUUAGCUAGUUGGUGAGGUAACGGCUCACCAAGGCUAUGAUCGUAGCUGGUCUGAGAGGAUGAUCAGCCACACUGGANNUGAGACACGGUCCAGACUCCUCGGGAGGCAGCAGUGGGGAAUCUUGCACAAUGGGCGAAAGCUGAUGCAGCGACGCCGCGUGGGGGAUGAAGCAUUUCGGUGUGUAAACCCCUUUCGACUGGGACGAAUCCUCGCAAGAGGAGUGACGGUACCAGUAGAAGAAGCCCCGGCUAACUACGUGCCAGCAGCCGCGGUAAGACGUAGGGGGCCAGCGUUGUUCGGAAUUACUGGGUGUAAAGGGUUCGUAGGCGGUGCGGCAAGUUGGGAGUGAAAUCUUUGGGCUUAACCCAGAGGCUGCUUCCAAAACUGCUGUGCUCGAGUGUGAGAGAGGCGCGUGGAAUUGCAGGUGUAGCGGUGAAAUGCGUAGAUAUCUGCAGGAACACCCGUGGCGAAAGCGGCCGCUGGAUCACUACUGACGCUGAGGAACGAAAGCUAGGGGAGCAAACAGGAUUAGAUACCCUAGUAGUCC
rnacentral:rRNA from 1 species